rnacentral:rRNA from 1 species
AGCGAACGCUGGCGGCAGGCCUAACACAUGCAAGUCGAACGAACUCUUCGGAGUUAGUGGCGGACGGGUGAGUAACACGUGGGAACGUGCCUUUUGGUUCGGAAUAACUCAAGGAAACUUGUGCUAAUACCGAAUGUGCCCUUCGGGGGAAAGAUUUAUCGCCAUUAGAGCGGCCCGCGUCUGAUUAGCUAGUUGGUGAGGUAACGGCUCACCAAGGCGACGAUCAGUAGCUGGUCUGAGAGGAUGACCAGCCACACUGGGACUGAGACACGGCCCAGACUCCUACGGGAGGCCGCAGUGGGGAAUCUUGCGCAAUGGGCGAAAGCCUGACGCAGCCAUGCCGCGUGAAUGAUGAAGGUCUUAGGAUUGUAAAAUUCCUUCACCGGGGACGAUAAUGACGGUACCCGGAGAAGAAGCCCCGGCUAACUUCGUG